rnacentral:lncRNA from 1 species
AAUGGUGACUCACAGAUCUGGGAUCGGGGAAAAGGAAAAAAUUGUGAGAAACUAAACAGACGUCACCUUUUUCAUAUUUUUGAGCUUGACUGGAAUCAAGAUUUCACAUGGCACCUCGAGGACAGGAUUAUUAAUAGCCUUUGUGUCAGCCUGAUGGUAAAGCUUUCUCUUUGAAUCCUUUGUAUAGUUGCUUUUCCUUCAGAAAGACCAUCCCAUUUACUCAUCAUGUGGUGAGUAAGCAUAAGCAAUCAAAAUACAAGUACUAUAAAUAUUGUAAUUAGAGCCUCAUCCUCUCGGUUAGACCCUCCCUAGCAAACACACCUCUCCCUAGCAAACACAUUGUUUAUAUAUUACUUUGAUAUUCAGAAAGAAUUGGAACUGUGUCUGUAACCAGAAUCUCCAAGGAGAACUAAGAUGUACUGAGCACCUAACGUAAUACAUUCCUAGUGUUUUAUAUGUAGGAUUGGUGAUCGCAGAUUUUAAGUUAUGUGCCCAAGGUCACUUGGCUAAGUGACGAAAUGCAGAUUCAAAUCCAAAUCUGAUUAAUUGCAAAAUUCUAUGCCUUUCCCCCAGCAGAGAGUAAAGUCUCUAAAAUAUUUCUUGAGUACCUACUUUAUGUCAGGCACUACCUAUAUAGAUUCAUUUGUUCCUUAAGAUAACCUUGAUAGGUAGUUAUUGUUAUCCUCAAUUUACAAAUGGGGAAACUGGUGUUCAGAGUGUUUAAACAAUUUUUCCAAGAUUACACUAGUGCUGCAAGCUGUACUCAGAUUCAUCUACAGUCAGGUUACACAUAAGGACAUUUGAAUCUAUGGUGGACCACAAAUAUGAUGGUGGUCUUGCAUGAUUAUAAUGAAGCUGUCUUAUGUACCACUUGUUAAUCUUUUAUGCCAUAUUUUUACUGCACCUUUUCUAUGUUUAGAUACACAAAUACUUACCAUUAUGUUACAAUUGCCCACAGUAUUCAGUACAGUAACAUACUAUGCACGCUUGUAGCCUAGGAGCAAUACGCUAUACCAUGUAGCCUAGGUGUGUAGUAGGCUAUACCAUCUAGAUUUAUGUAAGCACACAUUACAAUGUUUGCAUAGUGAUAAAGUCACCUAACAACACAUAACUUGGAACAUAGCCCCGUUGUUAAGCAACUCCUGACUGUAUUUCAAAACUGAGCUUUUCCUACUACACCACUGUAUUAGUUUGCUAGAGUUGCCAUAACAAAAUACCACAGACAGGGUGUUUAAACAAUAGAAAUUAUUUUCACAGUUCUGGAGGCUGGCAGCCCAAGAUCAAGGUGCAGGCAGGUUUAAUUUCUCCCAAGCCCCGCUGCCUUCACUUGCAGGUGGCCACACUCUCACUGCGUCCUCACCUGGCCUUUUCUCUGUGUCCAUGCAUCCCUGGUGUCUCUUCGUGUAUCCAAAUUCUCUCUUCUAAUGAGGACAGCAGUUAGAUUUGAUUUGUGCCCACCAUACAACAACUACCCUACAAAGUCAUGAUACAGAUCUUUUACAGACUUUCUUCAGUUCAGGUUUUUACCUGUUUCAAGGACUGUAAGCUUCUCAAUCUAUAUGUGUGCAUAAUUCCAACAUGUUUUCCACACUACAUGUAAAAGUUUAGAAAUACAUUGCAGAAAAGAUAGGAGGACUAGAAUACUUAGCAGCAGAGUGUACAACUGUGUAGAAAAGGAAUUAAUUACACCCAUCUUUCUUAUGGUUUAUGGUUUAUUGUUCAGGCUUCUGAAGACAAUGUAGAAACACAAGGGCUGAGCCUGGCCCUGUAUUUCAUAAAACUCAGUCAAGCCCCAGGGUUAGGUGGGGGUGAUGCCUUAGGGAUGUUUAUGGUCCCCAGACAUACCACCUCCUCACAUCCUGUGGAGGGAAAUAUGGCUGAAUGAGUCAGCGGCUAAGCUGGGAAUUGCCACAGGACUUCUGGAAUGGUAUGUUCAACAUGGAAAAAUGAGAACAAUCCCCCACGAUCAUUUUCACCCUGAAUCAGUAUUGAUUCUAAAGAUGAUUCAUUCAAGAUAAAGCCAAAUCCUCCACCUACAUAAUUUUUGAGCCAUUAGAAAGAAAGAAAAAAAAAAACCACUUAUAUAUAAAAAUAUAUAUACUUUUAGGGCAUUUCUCUUUUCAUACUUUUGGCAAAUAUAGAAAGAAUGCAAGAACUUUGACUCAAAUGUUGUAGAUAAUAGAAAUGGAUAGAUUAGAUGGAUAGACACAUACAUACACAGACACACACAAAUAUCACAAAACAUGGUAAAAAUCUAGUCAAUAAUCAAGGCAUUCAGAUAGUAUAGACACACAAUUAAGAAAUUUUCUUUGAAAUCUAAACUAUCUACACUGGUGAACUUCAUAAGACAUUUUUUCAUUCUGUUUUCCUUUUUUCAGUGUAGACUUGAUCUAAGCUAUCAAUUACUAACAGCCUUCUAAAAUCAAGAAGAAUGUCAACAAAAUUAUGUAGCUAACAAAAAGAUUAGCGUGUUUUUUGUGUGUUUUUGUCCUAAU